rnacentral:rRNA from 1 species
GAUGAACGCUGGCGGCGUGCCUAAUACAUGCAAGUCGAGCGAACAGACGAGGAUCUUGCUCCUCUGACGUUAGCGGCGGACGGGUGAGUAACAUGUGGAUAACCUACCUAUAAGACUGGGAUAACUUCGGGAAACCGGAGCUAAUACCGGAUAAUAUAUCGAACCGCAUGGUUCAAUCGUUAAAGACGGUUUUGCUGUCACUUAUAGAUGGAUCCGCGUCUCAUUAGCUAGUUGGUAAAGUAACGGCUUACCAAGGCGACGAUGCGUAGCCGACCUGAGAGGGUGAUCGGCCACACUGGAACUGAGACACGGUCCAGACUCCUACGGGAGGCAGCAGUAGGGAAUCUUCCGCAAUGGGCGAAAGCCUGACGGAGCAACGCCGCGUGAGUGAUGAAGGUCUUCGGAUCGUAAAACUCUGUUAUUAGGGAAGAACAAAUGUGUAAGUAACUAUGCACGUCUUGACGGUACCUGAUCAGAAAGCCACGGCUAACUACGUG